rnacentral:rRNA from 1 species
CCUACGGGAGGCUGCAGUGAGGAAUAUUGGUCAAUGGACGAGAGUCUGAACCAGCCAAGUAGCGUGAAGGAUGACUGCCCUAUGGGUUGUAAACUUCUUUUAUAUGGGAAUAAAAUGUUCCACGUGUGGGAUUUUGUAUGUACCAUAUGAAUAAGGAUCGGCUAACUCCGUGCCAGCAGCCGCGGUAAUACGGAGGAUCCGAGCGUUAUCCGGAUUUAUUGGGUUUAAAGGGAGAAUAGGUGGAUUGUUAAGUCAGUUGUGAAAGUUUGCGGCUCAACCGUAAAAUUGCAGUUGAAACUGGCAGUCUUGAGUACAGUAGAGGUGGGCGGAAUUCGUGGUGUAGCGGUGAAAUGCUUAGAUAUCACGAAGAACUCCGAUUGCGAAGGCAGUUCACUGGACUGCAACUGACACUGAGGCUCGAAAGUGUGGGUAUCAAACAGGAUUAGAUACCCCAGUAGUC